CAAAGAAUAGUUUAAUUUAAAAUCCUAGCUUUGGGAGUUAGGGAUAGGAGUUAAAAUCUCCUUUCUUUGA
rnacentral:tRNA from 1 species